UCCUUCUCUGGCUCCACCACCAGUCUCUCGUUCGACAGCAACCAUGGCAGAAAGCAUGACGAAGAUAAUAUUGUAAACCAUGGUGAUUGUUGGGUCUUCUUCUUUUCCUUUGUUCUUCGUUCCUCUAUCAUAUAUCCCUCAUUAUUUGGAUAUUAGUUCGAAAAUAAAUUUUAAAAACAUCCAGAUCUAAUUUCGAUCCCUUCAUUAUUUAGAUAUUAGUUCAAAAAUAAAUAUUAAAAAAUCCAGAUAUGAUUUUGAAGGUGAAAAUUUGUUAGUCAAAAAUAAAAAUUUUCUCAUUCUAGAUCUAGAUUUAUGGUGUCAACAUUAGUACUUGAGAGUUUUUUAUUUGCGAUUAUGGUAGCUAGAUCUUAUUUGUUUAGUGUAUUUGAGAUGGCAUAGCUAAGUUUUUGUGGCCCCCGCGUUUUCUCCCACUUAUAGCUAGACUUUUCUUCCAUGGACUUCGACAGUCGCUCAUACAGGCGAGGCGGUGAAAUGACGGUGCUGUGAGGUGAGGAAUUGUGCACUAAAUUCCCAAUUUAUUUCUCUGUCCUCUGUGCUGGGUAACUGGGUUUGCGUUCAAGAUUCUUCAAAAUUCGCUUAAUUCAUUGAUGGAUUUGUUCAUAAAAUGAAGAAUCUUUAAGAAUGAAUGUUAAAAUUUUGUGUAUAUUGCGACAUUAGAUGUGAGCAGGGAUGAAUUUGUGAAAUGGGCUUUUGUUGAUGGGUUCAAAUUCUUCUUGUACUCCAUUAAUUGUUGUUGUUGUUGUUCAUUAGUUUGUUAGAAAUUUUGUUUCUGUUCUUCAUUUUAUGAUUCUGG
rnacentral:lncRNA from 1 species